CUUCAACGAGCCCAGCCACAGCGGACGCUCGGGAUCCCGGCCCUGCCCGUACGUGGCCAGCAGCGCCUGCGCCUC
rnacentral:antisense_RNA from 1 species